AAGAUCUGUCUUAGUGGAACUAUCAACCCUAGAGCUAUGUCUCCUGCUAUGGAUAAUGGUGGAAAUGGGAAGUUUAAUGUGUUCCCUCCCACUCCUACUCUCACAAUCCACCCAAUUCCAAUACUUCGUCAUGGCUUAGAUGAUUUUUCGGUCGCCUUUCUUCACAAGCAUGACCUUUCUGUGAGAGUGAGGAUGUACUGAAUCCUCUGAUUCAAAUGAAGAGAGAGAAGAUUGAGAAAAGACAGUUUUGCAAGUUCACACAGAAGCAGUGCCAGCAGUAAACUAAAUGUUCAAGACCUUCACCUUUUGGAAUGAGGAGCUAUUGUCUGUGGAUGAUUGCUAGACUGGCUUGACACUUUUGUAGUAGAAAAAAAUUACACGAUCAAGAGGAUAUAACAAGUCUGGAUCACUCAAACGUUUCCAAGGGGGCAAAUCAGGAUUCCAUCUUAAAGUGAAAAAGACAUAUGUUUUUAACUAGAAUGGUAAGUAUUAGAAAAUAUUGUGAUGAAGACAGUUCUCACAAGACCCUGGCACCAGUGAAGUCAAUGAAGAAAAACCCACUAACUAAAUUAAACAUGUCUGGAUUUUAAUAUAACUUUCUUGAGAUGCAUAUAGCUAUGAAAUAGCUGAUGAGGUGGCAAGGCUACAUUUUCCUUUCUAUGUACUCUUUUUUUAUGUUACUGUCUGUAGGCGGUUUGUGAGCCAGACUUGAUUCAGCAUGUUACAAAUAAGUAUACACUGUAUUCUCUAACAGAGACAUUAUCUUUGUUCUUAUUUCCAUUUAUAUUUUUCCCUUAUAAUAAAAUAAAUUAUUCAAACUGAAA